rnacentral:misc_RNA from 1 species
AACGCACCUUGCACCCUUUGGUAUUCCGAAGGGUACACCCGUUUGAGUGUCAUUGUAAUCUCACUCCACCAGCUAUUUGUUGAUGGAUGUGGACCUGGACUCUGUUGUGUUACUACAACUGGUCUGAAAUGCAUGAGUGCACCCUGCUAUUGCAGCGUUUUCAGUGUGAUAAGCAUCUUCACUGGACCAAGCUCCCUUGGGACACGCAGCAUUGUGGGCUCUGUGCUGGCAAACUGUCUCUGGACAACUUUGACAAUUUGACCUCAGAUCGGGUGGGACUACCCGCUGAACUUAA